rnacentral:misc_RNA from 1 species
AGCCCACAUGGUUAAGAAGUGCCUGCUCAGAUAAUAAGUCAUUGUAAAUAUGGUAACAUACAAACAGAAAAGCAUGCAGGUAAGGCAAUGCAUUUAAAUCAUCAUUUUGUAGAAGGCCUUAGUGACAUGAAUACUUUCCGAUGUGCCAAAAAAUAAAAAUAAAAAAAACACACCAUUGAACCUUUUAUGUUAACUCUUUUGAUCAUUCACAAUUAUCAAGAAUAUAACACCUCACUAGAUGGGGAUUUACACACAUUUUACCAUUGUUCAAAAUCUUUCAUUCCCUUCCAUAAGCCACCAACGGCUUAAAGCCCAAUACCAAUGUUUUUGCAGCUUAUAGUUGUCAUAUUAUUAAGUACUGACCCUAUUGCUGCUAUAAGUUGGCAACUUAG